AAGAUGCUCAUGGAACUUCAGAAAAGUCACAUCUCUGAAAGGGAGAGGGAAGGAAUCUGUGUGUGUAGGACCUCAACUCAAUGAAGACUUGAAAUAGCUACUCAGGUCCUUCUCCCUUCCUAAAGGGAGAUUGUUGCAUCAGGGAAAUCGGAAACGUGAAGAAGUCCUACAGGAACUGCAACAUUCCAGAGAAGCUACUUAGGAACCGAUGAUGAAGAGAUUAGGAGUACACAAACCCUGCCUCUUAGAUGCACACAAUCUUCAGACCAUUUUACACCAGCAGGUUGCUGGGUACUCCCUUGGGCAGUCUCCACGUGUGGAUUUCCAUUUCAUCAAAGGAGACAGGAGGGAAGAGCCCCAGCAGCUCAAAGCAGGAAAGAUAUAUUUUCAGCAUGGGAUCAGUUGGAAAGACAUUGCAAAUGCAAGCUUCUGAGUCAGCAAAGAGCUGUCCAGAUCUUUUAUAAGUAUUGCAGAGCCCCUGCCAGGGGUCCACAGAUCACCAGACUAAACCCUCAGGUUCACACACAAACCUCUGUUGGAUGAGUGCCCUCCUUGGUUGGACCGAAAUGUUUUGCAGCUCUUUGUGUGAGUGUUCCUGCAUUAAUGGAGUCCUAAAAGAACAAGGGAAUAGUGACUUUAUGCUCACCAGUUCCAGGAUGGGUAGAGAGAUCCACCUGUACAGAUAUCUCACCCACUGAAUUAUUAGCAGUUUGACCUGAAACAAGAAUUACUGGUUAGCACACCUGGCUU